rnacentral:rRNA from 1 species
CACCGGCAGCUCUAGUGGUAGCAGUUUUUAUUGGGCCUAAAGCGUCCGUAGCCGGUUUAAUAAGUCUCUGGUGAAAUCCUGUAGCUUAACUGUGGGAAUUGCUGGAGAUACUAUUAGACUUGAGACCGGGAGAGGUUAGAGGUACUCCCAGGGUAGAGGUGAAAUUCUGUAAUCCUGGGAGGACCGCCUGUUGCGAAGGCGUCUAACUGGAACGGUUCUGACGGUGAGGGACGAAAGUUAGGGGCGCGAACCGGAUUAGAUACCCGGGUAGUCCUAACUGUAAACGAUGCGGACUUGGUGUUGGGGUGGCUUUGAGCUGCUCCAGUGCCGAAGGGAAGCUGUUAAGUCCGCCGCCUGGGAAGUACGGUCGCAAGACUGAAACUUAA